ensembl:lncRNA
GAAAAUCUCACUUUGGCUUUCCAGCAUUUAAUAAUAAAAUCACAUCAAUUAUGAAAAUAACAUUUCAUUAUUGCUUAUGGUCUGCGUGACCCUGAACGGAAAUUAAUGUCUAAGACACUGUAAAUUUUUGUUUCAAACACACACACAAAAGCCUUUGCCUGGAAAAGACUCUCAAGACAUAAUUCACCAGUUCAGCCUACUAUAAUGGCAUUAGGCUGACAGCCACUGGACAUCACUGGCCCAUCCUGAGCUCUCAAGCACUCUUGUGCAAACCUGUGCAACCUUCUGACAGUCCCCCAUAGGAAAAAGAGGCAGAUUGUGACCCAAUAAGAUGAUGACAAAUGGCUUUUGCGGGGGAAAGGAGGGAGCCUAAUGUAGAAAGAAAGUGAAGGUUCCUUGUGUAUGUCCAUUCAAGGAAAAUUAUGCAAGCAGUAUGAGAUUACAUUUGAUUCAGUGGUUUCUUUACCAGUUACUUAGCUUUCCAGUUAAUGCUACCAAUGUGGUUACUGGAGCAGAGGGAACAAAGUUCCCAUGAUUGUAAUCAGGCAAAAUAAGCCACUUCCUCUUCUAAGUGCUAAUCAACAUUUUCCUUUUGCCAUCCUAAGCAGUUGCAGAGGGAAUAUUGCCCCUUCUGUGAGGCCAAAAGAGCUAGGCAGCCAAAACACAGCCUUGCUAGAUUUGCACAGCCCUCUCUGUGGCCAUGGAGGGCUGGAUGUAACACCCAGGGCAACUUUCUGAAACGUGCCAGCAGCCCUCAGGCUCCUGCCCAGCUUCUGCUUUCUUUCUCCUAUCACUCACCCUCAUCAUGUCAUGCCCUCCUUCCGACUGCCUCCGAUGGGGUCAAGUUUUCCAGAGGGCUUUGGGUCAUCUAUCAUGUCGAGGCUUUUGCUUUGUGCUUGCACUUCCCGGGUCGAUUGUUGCUCCUUGAUGCCCUGUGUUGGGCUCAAGUCAGUGGUGGCCAUUUCUGUUUUUUUCUGAAGAUUUCAAAGCCUGAUGUUCCCUUCCCCUCCUCCACAAGUUUCUUUUUUCCUUACCUGCAUCUCAGUACUAUACAAAUAUUUUUCUGCUGUCGGCUGGAUCACUGAUCUAACAGCCCGUGAGCUGCAAAGCUUCAAAAACAUGGUUGGAUUUGCAUUCUCUAGCUCGAGCCCGCAGCCAUUACAAAGCCCUAUUUUGUCUGCGUCACGGAAAAGCAGCACAGUUCGCCGAACCUCGUUCUGCAGCCUUCUCGCAACCACUUGUGCUGGCAGAAUCCGGCCACAGGAUGGCAAUGUGUGUAUGGAGCCAUGCAGACUGCCUCGCCGCCCGGCCCAGAGGCGCGGGACGAGGCUGAAGUGGAAAGUUAAGUCUCAAGGAAAAGAAAAGCAAUUGCAAAAUGGGAAUGGAAACCUUGGUCCGUCUGGUGUUUGUUUGAGCACUGUCAGGCAGAAGUCUGUGCAAAAAGAGCAGAGGGUCCAUCUUGAAGAUCACUAAGAAAAGCCUGGAGUUUGUUGCCAAAGGUGAUGACAAUGAUUCACAAAAAAGUGUCAAUUUCUGUGGAGAUUACCGCUAUGGAAACUAAAGAGAAAAAGAAAGCAAGAAGUCUACAUAUGAUGCUGGAAACUUCCUGGUCCUACUGCUGCCAAUCUACGAAAUUCAGAUCACUGGCCCAGUGAUGAUGAUCUUCUCACUACUGUCACAGUUGCCUUGAGAAGUUCCCACAGGAGAAGCCAGAUAAUGUGUGGAAAAGAAUAGAGCAGGCUGGAACUGGAAGGGAAGUUGAAAAGCACCCAUGCAUCUGUGGACGAGGGGAUCACAGCCUGUGGCAGAGCACCUCAGCUUCCCUCGCUCUUGGAUGUGUUCAUCACACUGAACCCACAGCCCCAUGUGGGAUGCAGAGUAAUGCCCAUUGCAUAUGUACCAACGAAGUUAUAGACGUCAAGAGAGACCGUUUGUUUAUUUUAUCAAGAUCAUCUCCGGCAGUAUUUGAUUUCUCAUCAAACUUAUUUGCGCUCUCCCUCAACUUCAUGGAGAUCUCAGUUCCAUUCUCUAAAUUGUCUAGAAAACACCAUCUUGUAUAGGUCAGGCAUACUAUGGAUUCUGGACUCUUGGCAAUAUUUGUCCUUCUAUUUUGACAGUGAAUUAAUGUUAUCUGCUGUAUCAGUAUGAUUUUUUCAGUUGAUUUUGCACACAUUUGAUAUUAGAUUCUUUCAAAGAGUCAUUGUCAACAGUGUUGAGAACACAUCAAUUAUAGGUGUGGUACUCAAAAGCAAACAAGACUUUAUAUGUAUUGAGAGAACAUAACGUACAACAAUUACUGGUUUUCCUUCAAUCCACAGGUCCACUCAAUAGCUAAAAAAAGAAAUUAAAUUGGAUCUUGACAAAUCCAUAGAUUGAUUCAAAAAUCCAGGUGUGCUUUUUUCCUUCCUUUGUAAUCCUUGCAAAUUGUCAUAAAAAGCCACUUUUGGCUACUUCUCCAUAACUCCAAACAACUGAGUUAAACUGGUUAGUCAAUAAUUCUUUGGCCUCCUUUUCAAGGUAUGUCAUAUUUGCUUUUAUCUGCUUUUGAGUACUUCACCCAAAAAUCACGUAUUCUGUGAGACCACCAUCAAUGGUUACAGGAGUAGAUCACCCAGUUGCUGAAGCAUUCCAGGAUGAAAGUUAGUUCUUUGGAAUCAACAGAUAAGAAAAUGUGAAGCCAAGCAAAGUGCUCUCUAACCUAUCUUUGUCUGAGGGACGGAUUAUUUCCUUUGCUAUUGAUUUUAAUUGUAGAAGCCACUUUUUAGGGAAUAUUGAUUAAAGAAAUAAAAAAAGAAAAGCAUUAUGUAUAUUACCUUCC